rnacentral:lncRNA from 1 species
UUCUUUUCUUUCCAUUUAUUUUAUAAAAAAACUCCCAACCAAAAAAAAGUAGUAACUUUCUCUCUCAUUUUUUUUUUGCUUCUAUUCUUCUCUUCCAACCAAGGUGUUAAGUAAUUUUGAUCCAUGCGUUCUGUAUUGGUCGGUAAUACAAGUUCGUGGAUAUUUGACGUUACAUGUCAAAUGGUUGGGGCUUGAUUCCAGUCAUGCGUUCCAAAUCUUGAGUGAUUUGGGUUCAUGCACUUUCCGUAUGAUAUUAAGCGCUUCAGUAUUGGAAUAUCGCAGCUAUAUGGUGCGCAUGAUCUACUGUACCGCCUCAAAACAUCUAGCAUGUUGUACGGGAUCCGGUAUCAAAAUGGCGAAUCCUGAUGAUGAGCAUCUCCACACUCCUACCCAGCACA